rnacentral:lncRNA from 1 species
CCUCCCAGACUGCUGGGAUUACAGGUGUGAGCCACCAUGCCUGGCCUCACCUGGCUAUAUUUGAAAUGAAGCAAAUUGCUCAGAACUAGCUUAGGUCUCUGGUGGUCAGCAGUAGGCUUGUUGCAUUUUGCAAGAGCUCUGCCUUACAAACAGGUUCGGAUGAGCAGCCUGACUCCAGCACUCAGCAGCUAGGCGAAUUUUGAUAAUCCUUUCUUUUUAAUUGCUCAGAGCUUCUGUUUCCUUAUUUGUAAAAUGCAGGUAAUAACAGUAAUCUCACUGAGCUCUUGACAAGGUGAAUGAGAAAUGCAUGGAAAGUCCCCCGCACAGAGUAGGUGCUGUGUCCUUCCGGGGAGGGGGUUACACAUUGGACCCCCAUGUCCCACGAUGGAACUUUGCUCGGGGCCUUCAUUUCAGUCUGCAUCUGCCCACACACAGCUCACGGCUUCUCUUUUACAGCUGCAUUAAUCAUCCAUCCAAAAACACACGGAAAGGAGCCUAAAUACCAACUCGCCCACGGAUAUUGAGCUCAUUAUUUAUUGAAGUAACGUCUGUGCAUCCUGAAAGCACACCUCCCAUCACAGCCCCCAUCACCUGCCCUCCCACAGCUCAUUAGCGUCACCAAGGGCUGCCUUUAGAGCCUUCUGCCAUUCAGGGUCUUGCCUCAAUCGGAAGAGAAAGAGUGUGUGGAUUUCAGAAUGGUCUUAUGAAGUUGGCGUGCUGACCUUUCCUGAACCCUCCUCAGGCCUUAGCUCCCAGAAGCUCUGUGUGGAUGGCCAGGAGCAGGCUGGGCCAGGGUAGGGGGCACAUUUUCAGAUCCAUCUGCCAUUGGCUUCUCCAGAAUGAAUGGCCUUUACCCUCAGAAUAAUGUCCAGUGGACAUCCUUUCCUCUUCGACCAAGACGUUUCAAGUGUCUGUGGCAGCAGUUGGUUGUAUAGAGCUGACCGCAUAGUUCCCCAUGUGAUGAGGAGACUUCAGAGCUGCACAGUCUGAUGAAAGCUGUGCUAUGACUGAGGACAGAGUCAUAGCAUAGACUCAUGGGAGACCAGAGGAGGGCUUCUUACAGCCGGGGGAAUCAGGGGAAGCUGCCCAGAAGGGAGCCCUAGAGCUGAAUUUUAGCAGGCUAAGAGUAGAGCUGGCAAAGGAGGACAGUCUAGGCAAAGGGAGCAGCAGGCAUAGAGGCAAGGAGGCAAGACAGUCCCUCUCUUAGGCACAGCAGUGGGCAUCAGAUUGGACCAAGGGGAAGGUGCUCAGGAUUUCAGACUGGCAAACCCAUAGCUUCUUAUGGUUUAAAGGGGAGAAUCCUGAGCAAAUGGAGUGAAUCUGAGCAAAGGCUGAACUUCGCAGAUUUUAAUGUCCAUAUGAAUCAGUUGGGGAUUUGUUCAAAUGCAGAUUAUGAUGAGGUAGGUCUGGGCUGGGGUCCAAGAGCCUGCAUUUCUGACAUGCUCCUCAGCGAUGCCCAUGCUGCUGGGCCAUGGAACACACUUUGUAGAGCAAGGGAUAGCUUUGUAGCAGGCAGGACAAGCCCUGUGCAUCUGACCUUGGAGGGUUUAUUUCCGUUUUCCCUGUGCCUGGAAGUUUGGCUUUAGCUAAUUUCAUAAGAUUGCUGAAGAACUGAUGUACCAGCCCAUCACCUUAGUGUGCCUGGGAUACUGAUUUGCUUUUUUCUUCUUCUUAACACGUUUGCAAUCAGUAGCCAUGUUUCUGAUUUCCCACCGGCACAGGGCAGGGGCCUCCAAGAGGAAGACAGACUAUCCUGUGUAUGGGAAUCCAAGCUGGUGUGACUGUCCUCAUGGCUUCUGUGUAACCAUAAAGGGCUGGGUCUUGCUCCUGGGAGAGGAUGGCCUCCCUCUCUCAGUGAGCCCAGGAUGCCACCCCUCAUUCUCUCUGCCUCUGUACAUUUUCCCUCAUUGCAGAACAGUCCAAGCUGACCCAUCUGCCCAGAGGCCUCAUUCCCUUGCCUUCUGGCUCCAGGGGUCUGUGGGCCAGGGUGGAGGGCUUUCAUAAAUGGGGCCUUGGGAUCAGUGUGAAGAGCACAGCUCUAGGGCAGAGCCAAAUGCACAGUGACGGCGUGCCCACUGCACGGGGCUGGCACAGCUGGGGGAGGAUGGCAGGCCCCUCCGACUGCACAUGGGCUUCCCAGCAGACAGGCUGGAGCUGAAUGUUCUUUCUCACCCUGAGUACUCCACACCAAAGGCCCCAGUGGAACUAGCUCCAUGCAGUCCAGGAGCUGCAUGUUAAGCUCCUGCUAUGGGCCUCAGCCCUGGGAGACAAGGAUCCUGCUCAGGAGGCCCGUAGCCCAGUAGGGAAACAGACAAGGAUGACGGCAAUCAUAAUUCAGUGUGGCUAGAGGGGAGCAAAGAGGGAUGUAGGGACUUCGACAGGGAUGAUUAAUUCUGUGGAAUGGGGUAGGUAAUUCAAAGAAAUGUAUUUAAGCUAUGCUUUGAAGGAUCUGCCAUUCAACAAUACUAUGGGGCCUGACACUGAGCUAUGCUCUGGGGAUACAACUGUGAUAAUUCAAACAAGGUCUGUGCCUCCUGAAGGGCCUGUUAGGGUAGGAGGGGUGAUGACAUCCUCAGAGGUGCAGCAGGUGCUGUCGUGCUAUCUGUGCUUUGCCCGUUUCCCCCCAUUCUACUCCUUCAGUGCACACUGAUCCAAAUUCCAACCACCAGCACCUGAGUUUCUUUGCCUGGGUGCUUUCUCUUUCCAUUGGUGUCUACUACACUAGGGCAGGCCAGAGUGCUGGGAAACUCACAGUCCUGCCCUCCACACAGCAUGAGCUGAUGACUGCCGGGAGAUAGUGUAUAAAUACCCUAGUUCCCUUGUCCCUUGGGAAAGUCAGCUCUGAGGCAUGUGCUCUACACUGAGUGUCACCAUCAGGAUUUGGUCCUAAUCUCCCAGCAUGCUGGCUGCAUAAAGCACCUUUACUCGCUGCCUUCCCUUCUUGUCUCAUGUUUCCCCCUUACCAGGUUUUCUUCAUCUCCUUCUUGAGCUCAAAUGCUUGCCCAAGAGUCAGCUUCUGGGGGGAUCCUAAGCUAAGACCAGCGAGGAGGGAUUCAUGCUCAGCGAGGAGCACAGGGCAUGUAGAGGUGUAGCUGUAGCCAGGGCAAGGGGUAGCACAGACUGCCUUCUCAUGGGAAUUUGCAGAUGAAUUGCCUAGUGGAGUGCAGGGGGCUGUUUGGGUGGCUCAGCUGCUCUCUCAGUCCUGAGCUUACUCACCAGCUAUGCACAGCCACCCAGACCCAUAGAAACCUCCUGCCAGGAUUCCAUUGGAGUUUCCCUCUGGAAGCAGUUUGAGCAAAUUCCAUUAGAUUGGAAAGUCGGUGCUGAGGAACUUGGAGAAGAUGAUGGAAGACAGCAUUUCCUAUGGCACAUCAGUCCUGGGAUGUGUCCACAAAGAAGGGCUCCCCAGUCACAUGAGGUUGCCCAGGGCUGUAGGUACAUUUCACUCUUGGAGGUUCCCAAGAAAGGCCUGAGAAGUCCUGAGUCAGGAAUCAUUUUCCCCUAACCAGGAUUAAGCAGUAAUUCCCUUAGCCAUUUCACCACAGAACCUUCUAUCACAUAGCACUUAAUAACUCUGCACGGAACUAGGGUUCUGUAGAGCACGCUGUGAGAAGUGCUGAUACAGGGAUGAAGGGACUCAUCUGGAGAGUCAGGGAAGACUCUGGAGGCUGAAGCCAGCCUCUCAAUGUCACUUCUCUGCUCUCAGUGAUCCCCAGUAGGAAGGUGCCACUGCAUUACAGAAUCAGAUCUCAAAACCAGUACUGGGACCAGGUGGUGACCAGAGACUGCUCAGAGCCUCUUUCUAACCAGACACUAGAAGCAGAGUGUCUGAUACGUUCACAACGUGCUUCAUGGACCACUGCAGCUCAGAAGGCAGUGUGAGAGAUAAGAGAAACCACUACCUGGAACCAAUUCAGACCAUUAGGCCAGAGGAAGAUGGACAGAUAACUGAGAAUGAAUAGAUUUCACCAUUAUCCAAGGGACAGAGUAGAACUCAGAAUGAGAUGCCCCAAAAGAACAAAUAACAGAGACUGAGGGUCAGUUAUUGGGAUAUGACUGAGGUUGGGGCGAGGGGGGCGAGAGAGAGAGAAAGAGAGAGAGAGAGGAAGGAAGGAAGAAAGAAAGAAAUAAAGAAAGAUUGACCCCUUCUUUUAGUUUAUUUUGUGGCUACCACCCAUGGCUUGUUCUGGGAGAUGAUGUUUCAGAUAGGAGGUUAUUGAAUAAAAGGAAGUUGAAGCUCAAGGUAGGGAAGGUGACAAAUAGCAGUAUUUUCUGCCUCCUGUACCCCCUCCCCGCUCCAAGAUCUACAAACUCUCCCAUCUCUCUUCUCUAGCCUCCUGGUGGGGCUUGGGGUAGCAGCCUUGCUCCUCUCUCCUCAUCUUCUCUAUCACUCCUGGACCCGGGAGGUAGAGCAUCUAGGUAACUUACCUCUCCACAGUGCAAUUUGAGUUUAGGGACAUUGAUGAGAGCAUAGCUAUUUUAAAUGAGCUCAUGUUUCUGGCCUGGAUUUUACUAGAUGAGGCUUCCAGAAGAUGAAUUUGCAGAAGAAAACAUUGGUCCACAAGCUUCAGAGUGUGGGAUAGAGAAGGACUGGGGCCAGAGGCUACAGAUGAAUCAAUGACGUGACUUCCGCAUGGGGCACAGGUCAGCUUUGCAAACUGUAGGUUAGUGAGUUUAAUGUCAUCCCUCAGUAAACCACGGAAAUAAAUCAUUAUUUUUAGAUUAUUUUUUGAAUUGUAUCAAAGUAAUCCUUUACAUAGUUAAAAAACCUCAAAUAGUAUCUAUAAUAAAAUAAAAUAGUUCCCUGCUUCACCACAGUCAUCUUCCCAGAUCUGGGAAGCACUAUUGAACCCCUUAGCUAUUUCAACUCAUAUUUGCUACCAUAUUUCUAAAUAAUUUGCUGGCACCACUGUUUUCUGAUUCAAUAGUAUUAGACAUUAUGUAUUGAUUUCUUAUUAUAGUCGAUAAGGAUUUGGCUGCCUUAUAUUUUCUAUCUCCUUAAAACACAUACCUCCUCUUCCUCAAUCCUCAAACUUUGGGUUAAAACGGUAGACAGUAUUAACAUUAUGUACUGUGAAAAUAUUGUUCCCUGUUAAGGAGACUUCCAUGAUGUAAACUUUAUUUUUCCUAGUUGAAUCGGUGUCCAAUUAGGAAAACAUUAAUCAGUAAGCAUUUUAGGCAGAAUUUAAGGAAUGGGUUAUACAAGUAAUGGAAGAAUUGGGAAGCCAAACAGAGGCAGUCAAGGCAACCAGAAAUUAGGCACAGCAGGAAGCUGCCACCACCAGGCCUAGGGCUAGAGAGCCAAGGGCAUGGACAGUUUUUCCAGAGCCCAAGACGCAGGGCCAUUGGCAGAAGGUGGAACCAGGGCAGUCCUUUCUGAGAGGAGUCAGCCCUGAGGAGGUGCCACCUCCGCGGGAGAUGCCACCUCCGCGGGAGAUGCCGAGAUGCCGCAAGAGACAGACAGCCAGGGGCAGAAACACCUAGGCUUCUCCCCUCCCCCGCCCCCAUCUCUCUUCAGUGCCUCCUGUUGGCCAAAUUCACAUAGAAGCCAAUUGAGAAACGCGGCUUGCAGGAGUCAGCCUGCUCUGCUCGCUUCAACUCCCAUGAAACAGAACGGGCCAGAGAAGAGCAAGGAAUGGAAAUGAGGUCAAACAGGCCAACCCCAGACACAGUCAUAUUAAUAUUUGCCCUUUUAUAAAGAAAAUUAAAUAAGCAUUUAGCAUUGAUUUUUUUGUAUGUGCUCUAUCAAAUCUGUUUUAUGAAUGUGAUCCAUUCAUUUCAUUUGGUUUCCAGGAGUGCUCCAUCCUUCUGCUGCAUCUGGGCUGUUUGCUCAGGCCUGCCUCGGUGCUGCCGUUUGGGGCAUGAGGACGGCUUCAUCUCAGGGAGUCCCUUAUCCUGCUCCUGGGCUGAACCCCUGCGUUAAUUCCUUAUCUUCCUUUUUCUUGGUUUACUCCCUUUUUAUAGGAACAUGUCUUCCAGUAGCUUCCCAAGAAAGAGGCCAUGGGAAAUAAAUAUUUUGCCUUUGCAUGUCUGAAAAUGUCUUUAUUCUACGCUCACAUUUGAUUGGCAUGUUAGCUAGCUUUAGAACUCUAGGUUGAAAACAAGUUUCUCUGGAAUUUUGAAGGUGCUGAUUCAUUGCCUUCCAGCUCCCAGUGUUGCUUCUGUGGUCUGAUACUAUCCAGGUUUUGCUCCUUUCUAUGUGACCUGUUUUGUUUUCUUUUCUCUUUGUAUGUUCUUAGAAUCUUCCUUAUAUCCUCAAAUUAUCUUUGCAAAUCUAGACAAACAACCCCAAAUAUAGAUUUGUUUUGCUGAGAGCAUAAAGCCCCUCCCUCCACAGUCAGGAAAAUAUUAUGACCCAGUGGAUUUGAAGCUUUUGAUCUUAGAUAAAGCCUGAUGUCCCAAAGGGAUCAGUUCCUAAUUGUAGGACUUUCUGGCAAAAUUAGCCAUGGGUGAUCAAAUAAAGCCUCUCCUUGAUGCUCUGACUUGGUACAUCUGGUACUUUGAAUAAACAAGACUCCUGGGGUGUAAUUACAGAAGCAUCUGUAUCUUUGUUAUCACUAUCCUUUUAAAUGUGCUCAGUAAGAGUAAGUCUUCUGCUAUAGGGUGAAAAUUCAGACAAGACCAUGACUUUCUUUGUCAUAAGUCGUAUAUAAAUUUAUACCAAAACACAGUCUUAAGAGGGUCCAGUGCUAUUUAAUCAGCAAAACUUAAACUCGCUGUUAAUUCUACUAGAGGAUCUGUAGUCCAAGGAGGGGAAUAGGUUCCUGCUUGUCUCUCCCAGCUCUUCCUCCCUAUUUGCCAGCUGUGAUCUCUCACCAUUCUAGAAAGGAGGAGGGAGAGGAAAGGUGUGGAGGGCAGGAGGCUUCCCACUUGACUGAUACUGUCUUGAAGUGGCCUUGUGCCUGCAGGCCCAGGCAGAUAUUUAAGAUGACUCUUCUAUUGUGAUUGUGUGAGUUCUCUGGAGAUGCCCCUGCUGGGCCAGGUGACUGCAGCUUCUUUGAUAGAGCCAGGGCCUCAGCUUCAACUGGCUACUCCCAACCCUCACAUGGUUCCUGCCCCUUUGGUCCCUCAUAGUGGCUUAUUGAGGGAUCCCAUGCCCUGGAAAGAUGCCUUCCUGGGCAGGAUGCCUACUAAAACAAUUGCAGGCUGGCAUUCCCUCCAUGGGUUCUGGGUUUGGCCACCUUCAUCCUGCCAUUGGAGGAGGUGUUAGUGGCCUCUCUAGCUUUCUCCACUAUGAGUCAGGCACAGAUGCCUGUGUUCUCCAACUUCAGGGAACCCAAAUCUAUUCUGUAGGUGGUUCCACUGAAGCCUCUCCCACUAAGUGUGCGGUGGGAGGUCGGUCAUCCAGCCUUUCCCUCGGGGAUGGGUGGACCCCAACUCAGAAAUCCUCUUCAUAGACCCUCUUAAUCUUCAACAAUGCAGUCCUUUGUCCCUCAAUCUAAGUGAAUCACUAAUUAAUUUUCAGUCACCUUCUUUGAAGUGUCAUGCACUGACUUGUCUGAGAACUUGCUUGGGCAUCUGGUAUCCAUUGCAUCUUGGUGCCUUAGUGAAAAUUCCCAGCUUAACUUUCUUGUUAUGUGGGCAUCUCCCAGAAUCUGUCUUCUCCUUGCACCUGUCACAUCAUGCCCAAGUUGCUAUGAAAUAGCCAUCUCAAAUAUCUAAAUGCCUGUGAGCAAUCGCUCCUGAAAAGAGACAGUGGGGGCUGGAAAUUUGAUUCCUUCAGAAAAAGAGUUUCCUGAGAACAGGACAUUCCAAUUAGUGAGCUGAUAGCUCAUCCUUGUCACCGGAGCUGUCCAUAGCAGAACAAGAGUGCUGGGCAAUGCUUUAUGAGUCAAUAAAGAAAGCACCUCCAGAGUCCUAGGAAACACAUUUCAUUUGCUUAUUUAUUGCCUUUAAUUUUAUAGGCUAUAGGAGAAAUUUCUGCCUUCUGAAUGUGUCCAACUAGCUCUGUUCACCUGAGAAAUCACAUUCCCCAGCUCUGGGUAUCCCUGAAUAACCACAGGAGAACAGUUCCAGGCCCUGAUAAGUCAGCUAUUGCAAGGGGGACCUGGCUGGAAGAUAUGAAGGAAAAAUAUCAUUCUUGAACUAAUAAGUUGAGAGAUCACAGCCUUCAGGGGACCAGAAGGGAAGGCUGAACAGGGAAGGGCAAUUUCACGUUCGCCAUGUCCAUAUUUCUAUCGUCAUGAGCCAUCUCACCUUACAGGCAGGGAAGUUUUGAGCUUAGAGAAUGGGAUGCGUCAAGAAAACCGUGGCUCCCCCAGCUCUGUUCCUGGAUUCAGUGCCUGUUGUUUCAUCCUGUGUAGACUGGAGUCAGGGUCUACACAGUUGGAAUUCUAUGGAACCAAGAUGCUGUGUGGCAGAUGGAUGUGGACUCCAACUGUGACAAUCCAGAAGGCCUUGGGGACUUGUUUCAUGAACAGCUCCCUGUAGGAUCUCUGUUGGGGUGGGGGAUUCUAGGGGCAUCUCCGCAGUUUUCUUCUGAAAACAAAACGAAUACCAGUUGGGCAGGUGCAACAACUGUGCAUGCAGUCCCCUCCCAGGGCUGGCUAGCAGUAUUGUUGGGUACCGUAAGCACUUAGCAUUGUUAAGUGAGCAUAAGUAACAAGAUGCAACAGCCUCUGGCCAAGUUUUGAAGAUUUUGUUUUAAAGUAUGCUUUUAGAUGUUGACAUUCAUGAUUAUUAAAAGGAACAAAACUCAAUUUGGGGUCUCAAGAGCCACAAUUCUAGACUUCUAGGAUGUCAGGAGCCAUGCUCUUAAGCUUCUCACCCUGCUGUUUUAAUGAGAUUAAUGAUUAUUUUCCACUGAGCACCUACCUGUGAUGUUCAUAAAAAAGUGAAAUAAAUGACUCACAUGGAGAUUUGGAAGGAUAUCACUGUGGAAAGUAGAUGUUAACAGCCUCUAGAAAUAUGAUAAUUAUCAGCUAUUUGAGAUGCAGUCACUGUAAUGUGAUAACAAGAUGUGUUGUGCAGGUAGAAAGCAUGGAGAGAAAUGGCACGAAGUAGUUAUAAGAAAAAA